rnacentral:lncRNA from 1 species
CCGCGCCUCUGUCGUUUUCCGGCGAACACCCUCACACACACACUCCCUGUUCCCCCUUCCCAAUAAACAAUAACGGCAACAACACCACAACGUAUUGUCCUCUUGCCAUCUCUCUCUGAUUAAACGGGCCGACCCCCUCUUGGUGGCGGCGGUACUGCGGUGGUGGCUCGACGACAGCAAACCGACGGCGGUGGAGGUCACGGCGGAGUCCGGGCGGCUGAAUAGGUGGUGCUUUGUUUUCCGACAACUCCACGAUGAAAAUGGUGGUGACGACGGCGGCUGCAUCGCCGCCGUCUGCGGCGGUGGACGACGGUGGCAGGAGUGAUGGUUCACGGCUCGGGUUAUUUCGGUUCAGUUCGCACUGGUCAAACUGGUUCAGUUUAUGUUCGGGAUAUGUUGAUUUGUUUCGGUCUCGGGUCAACCGAUUUAGUCUCGUUCAGAUAAACACCCUCGUUCGUUCUUUUGGAAUUCCGUUUACUCAUGCACUAUCGUCUGCCCAUAUAGGGUGACCUCGGUGUUCCAUCCUCCUAAUCUCUUACGCUCGUCAGCACUGGAUAAUCGGAAGAGUUGCAAAACCGUGAGUAUACUCGCAACCCCCUUUUUAUGUUUACCACUUUUUGGGGUGUAACAUGUUACCUUAUUUAACACACUUAAACUUAUU